rnacentral:rRNA from 1 species
UACGUAGGGUGCGAGCGUUGCCCGGAUUUAUUGGGCGUAAAGGGCGCGUAGGCGGCUCGGCACGUCCGUUGUGAAAUCGCCCGGCUCAACUGGGCGGGGUCAGCGGAUACGGUCGAGCUUGAGCAAGCUAGGGGGCAAUGGAAUUCCCGGUGUAGUGGUGGAAUGCGUAGAGAUCCGGAAGAACACCGGUGGCGAAGGCGGCCUGCUGGGCAGUAGCUGACACUGAGGCGCGACAGCGUGGGGAGCAAACAGG